UGCAUCAGCCGUGAAUCGAACACGGGGCCCAUCGAAGUUGAUCAGGCGUCUUGGAUCGGUUUUAGUCGCUCUAGACGGUGCUGGCAACGAUGGAUUUUACCACUAAACCACUGAUGC
rnacentral:tRNA from 1 species